GGAUGCGAUCAUACCAUCACUAAAGCACCGGAUCCCAUCAGAACUCCAAAGUUAAGCGUGCUUGGGAGAGAGUAGUACUAGGAUGGGUGACCUCCUGGGAAGUCCUGCUGCUGCAUUCC
rnacentral:rRNA from 2 species